rnacentral:rRNA from 1 species
UUCGGGGCAGGGAGACAGGUGGUGCAUGGUUGUCGUCAGCUCGUGUCGUGAGAUGUUAGGUUAAGUCCUGCAACGAGCGCAACCCUUAUCAUUAGUUGCUACCAUUAAGUUGAGCACUCUAGUGAGACUGCCCGGGUUAACCGGGAGGAAGGUGGGGAUGACGUCAAAUCAUCAUGCCCCUUAUGUCCAGGGCAACACACGUGCUACAAUGGUGAGUACAGAGAGAUGCAAUACCGUGAGGUGGAGCCAAACUCUAAAACUCAUCCCAGUUCGGAUUGUAGGCUGAAACUCGCCUACAUGAAGCUGGAGUUGCUAGUAAUCGCGAAUCAGAAUGUCGCGGUGAAUACGUUCCCGGGCCUUGUACACACCGCCCGUCACACCAUGAGAG